rnacentral:rRNA from 1 species
CCUACGGGAUGCAGCAGUGGGGAAUAUUGGACAAUGGGCGAAAGCCUGAUCCAGCCAUGCCGCGUGUGUGAAGAAGGCCUUCGGGUUGUAAAGCACUUUCAGUGGGGAAGAAAGCCUUGGGGCUAAUACCCUCGAGGAAGGACAUCACCCACAGAAGAAGCACCGGCUAACUCCGUGCCAGCAGCCGCGGUAAUACGGAGGGUGCGAGCGUUAAUCGGAAUUACUGGGCGUAAAGCGCGCGUAGGCGGUCUGAUAAGCCGGUUGUGAAAGCCCCGGGCUCAACCUGGGAACGGCAUCCGGAACUGUCAGGCUAGAGUGCAGGAGAGGAAGGUAGAAUUCCCGGUGUAGCGGUGAAAUGCGUAGAGAUCGGGAGGAAUACCAGUGGCGAAGGCGGCCUUCUGGACUGACACUGACGCUGAGGUGCGAAAGCGUGGGUAGCAAACAGGAUUAGAUACCCUUGUAGC